UUUAUGUGGAGGGCUUGAUCCUGGCUCAGAGCGAACGCUGGCGGCGUGCCUAACACAUGCAAGUCGUGCGCGAAAGUC
rnacentral:rRNA from 1 species